rnacentral:rRNA from 1 species
ACUACGGGAGGCAGCAGUGGGGAAUAUUGCACAAUGGGGGGAACCCUGAUGCAGCGACGCCGCGUGAGUGAAGAAGUAUUUCGGUAUGUAAAGCUCUAUCAGCAGGGAAGAAAAUGACGGUACCUGACUAAGAAGCCCCGGCUAACUACGUGCCAGCAGCCGCGGUAAUACGUAGGGGGCAAGCGUUAUCCGGAUUUACUGGGUGUAAAGGGAGCGCAGACGGCUGUGCAAGUCUGGAGUGAGAGGCGGGGGCCCAACCCCCGGACUGCACUGGAAACUGUAAAGCUGGAGUGCAGGAGAGGUAAGCGGAAUUCCUAGUGUAGCGGUGAAAUGCGUAGAUAUUAGGAGGAACACCAGUGGCGAAGGCGGCUUACUGGACUGCAACUGACGUUGAGGCUCGAAAGCGUGGGGAGCAAACAGGAUUAGAUACCCGGGUAGUC